AGAUGUGUGAUAUUUUAGUUCUCGAAUUUUUAAUGUGUUAUAUUUUUUUACUCAAACUAUAUAUAAGGCACAUGAUGUUUUAGUCCUCAAACUUUAAUUAGUUGCAAUUUGUGGCUCUAGCGAUAAGAUAUAUGAUAUUUUAAUUCUCAAUUUUUACUGCUAUUAUAAAUAUAAUUUUAUUAUUCUUAUUUUUCUCUUCUUAUAUUUUUAUUUUUAUGUUUUUACUGUAGCAAAUGUUGCUUCUUCUUAAGUUUCCUUUAUUUGUAUUCUUUUUUACUCUUUAACUUUUUGUAUUAAUUUUUAGUUUUAUUUAUUAUUUUUUUCUACGAAAAUGAUCCGGCGCAUCGUGCAGGUAGCUUCACUAGCAUAUACUAGAAACCUCACAUGUUACUAUAAUAUUAGACACAAUUACUAGCUAGUACACAGCUACUUGACUCGAUCAACUGAUCCUUACACAUAUUCGCAAAUCAAGUACAGUAUUGUUUUUUUUGAGCAAUUGAUUAUAUAUCUCCGAAAAGUUUUCGACUUUCUGAUUUACGCCUCUUAGAAGGCUAAUAUUAAAAAUGUCGUUUUUACGUUCCAACUUAUUUCAAAUAUACCCCUAAAAUUAAAAUAAGAAUAAAUAAAAUAUUUUUGAAAUUUUGAAAGAUAUAUAGACAAUUAAUUUUUUUUUUUUUUAACAAUGCUAUAUGUACAGUCCAUGAGAGAUGUACAAUAUUCUAUACUCCACGAGGAAUUCUGCACUAUUUGCACCACAUCAUCAAUAACAAGCUAAUCAUUUUUCUUUUUUUCAAACAAAAAUACAAUAAAAAUAUUUUUUUAUAAUCAUGAUGAGACAUAUAUCUUUAAAAAAAAAAUUUUGAUUGAUUUGUUACGCCACAUGAUCAAUAUACCCAUUGUAUUUUAGAAUGUUUCAUACUCCACACAUCCACUAGGUGGGGUGGGGUGUUAACGAUCAGGCACAAUUGACACCCCACCGAUUGGAUAGGU
rnacentral:lncRNA from 1 species